rnacentral:lncRNA from 1 species
AGGAAGACCCUGGCCUCCAUCUUGAAAACGGAAAAUAAAAACAGCAGACCUAUGAAGGUCAAAGGGGAAGUUAAGAAAAGCUGUAUCGAUUGUUGAGAUCUGGCGACUUGCUUAAAUUUCAUCAGCCUCACUUCUAUGGACUCUCAGAGUCCUCGUAAGAACUUCCAUUUUAUGUUCUUAUCUUCUCAUCAGUUUGAGUUAUGUCUUUAACAUUGGAGAGAAAAACAACUUGCAAGAUUUUCUUUCAGUAUGAACCAUUCUGAGGUCCUUCAAUUCUUUAGCUGAUUACCAACUCCUACCACUGUUAACCCUCAUCCAGGAACAAGCUUAUGUCUUUAACAUUCUGAGUGGGCUUCAGCAUCCUUGCAUAUGUUCAAUUCUUAAAAACCUGUUGAAAUAAAAGAUCAGGAGACAUAGGAGGGAUGCCAGAAGACAGCGUGGCCUCACGUGUACCAGCUCUCUGCUCUCCUUUGCCUUGGGACGUUCCAUCCCUGGAAGUUUCCCUGCCCACAUCUUUGUAGAGAGUCCAUUCUCCAAGCUUCAGUGUGUCAUCUGUUAGGACUAUGACCCACCUGGUACAUUACCUCAGGGCAUUCAUUUCAGGCUCCUUCUAAGUGGUCAAGAGAAAACACCAACAUUUUUGUAAUGGCCUGCAAGGCCUUCCAAGAUCUGCCUCCUGCAACUCAGCUUCUCCUGUGCUCUUCUUCUGGACUCACUCUGCCUCAGCAACGCUGGUCCCUGUUGCCCCACCAAUAUGCCAGGUAAACCUCAGGUUCUCCUCCUGCCUUUUGCUAAGUAUAUGUCUUGAUGACAAGCCUUCUGCUAAUGAGCUGUGUUUCUGG